AUUGAACGCUGGCGGCAGGCCUAACACAUGCAAGUCGAGCGGAGCGGCGGACGGGUGAGUAAUGACUAGGAAUCUGCCUGGUAGUGGGGGAUAACGUCCGGAAACGGGCGCUAAUAACGAAUACUAUCAGAUGAGGCUAGGUCGGAUUAGCUCGUUGGUGGGGUAAAGGCCUAACAAGGCGACGGUCCGGAACUGGUCUGAGAGGAGGAUUAGGUCAACCGGGACUUGGAAACGGGUCCAACUUCGUCCGGAGGCAACAGGUGGGAAUAAUGGGCAAUGGGCGAAAGCCCUGUUCCGCCAUGGCCGGGUGUUUAAAGAGGUCUUCGGAUUGUAAAGCACUUUAAGUUGGGAGGCGUUACCAACAGAAUAAGCACCGGCUAACUUCGUGCCAGCAGCCGCGGUAAUAC
rnacentral:rRNA from 1 species